rnacentral:rRNA from 1 species
GUUUGAUCAUGGCUCAGAUUGAACGCUGGCGGCAGGCCUAACACAUGCAAGUCGAACGGAAACAUGUCUAGCUUGCUAGAUGAUGUCGAGUGGCGGACGGGUGAGUAAUGCUUGGGAACUUGCCUUUGCGAGGGGGAUAACAGUUGGAAACGACUGCUAAUACCGCAUAAUGUCUUCGGACCAA